AGUACGACUCUCGACAACGGAUAUCUCGGUUCUCGCAUCAAUGAAGAACGUAGCGAAAUGCGAUACCUGGUGUGAAUUGCAGAAUCCCACGAACCACCGAGUCUUUGAAUGCAAGUUGCGCCCGAGGCCACCCGGUCGAGGGCACGCCUGCCUGGGCAUCACGC
rnacentral:rRNA from 1 species